ensembl:lncRNA
UUUUUUUUUUUUUUUUUUUUGAGAUGGAGGGAGUCUUGCUCUGUCACCCAGGCUGGAGUGUAGUGGUGUGAUCUCAGCUCACUGCAACCUCUGCCUCCCAGGUUCAAGCGAUUCUCGGGCCUCAGCCUCCCGAGUAGCUGGCAUUACAGGCACACACCACGACUCCUGGCUAAUUUUUGUAUUUUUAGUAGAGACAGAGUUUCACCAUGUUGGCCAGGCUAGUCUCGAACUUCCUGGCCCCAGCACACCCCUCAAGUGAUCCUCCCGCCUCAGUCUCCCAAAGUGCUGAGAUUACAAGCAUGAGCCACUGUGCCCAGCCCCAACUUUUAAAAAUGAAUUAAAAAUAAUUGUCUAAUUCACUGUUGUCUACAGUUUGAUGGAUUUUGACAAAUGCCACCACCAUCCCAAUCAAGAACAUUUUCAUCCACCUCCCAAGACCUCUCAUGCAUCUUUCCAGUUAAUCCCCUCACCCUUCAACAGAAAACCAAUAUUCUGAUUUCUAUCACCUUAGUUCAGUUUUGUCUGUUCUACAACUUGCUAUAAGUGGUACCAAACGCUGUAUCCUCCCCCUCUCUCCACUUUUAACAUGCAAAUGAUGCAAUUACUUUCCAUGAGUAAGCAGGUCACAUGAAGAACAUACACCGCCUUGAUCCAGUGGCUCUGCGUCUCCCCCAACACACCAGACUGUGCAGUAGCGGGUGUGCUAAGUCUAACCACAUGAAAUGUCGUUUUUGGCUUAGCGGCAGCUGGGCCGAUCUCUCCCUUCCCUGCUUCUGAAGUCCUCCAAUCUCAGGGCCUGCUGACCCCCUGCUUCCUGGCCCCAGCACACAGCAAUUGCUUUACCCUGAGAGUCCCAGCAUCCUGAGAGGUUCUAUUUUUGGCUGGAAUAACAAUCUCCAAUGCAGGCACAGAGCUGUUCAGCUUAAUAGCUAAUAAUAUUAGCUACCAUUUACUGAAGGCUCUCUCUUCAAGACACCAAGCUUAGUGUUUGCAUACAUUAUUCCAUGUAAGCCUCCCAGUGAGGCAUUAUCUCCAUUUUACCCACUAGGAAACAGGCUCAGAGAGGUUAGAAAGGGGCUUCGAAGCUUUUUGUGGGCAAACGACUCACCUGGGGAUCUGUUAAAAUGCAGAUCCUUACUCAGUAGGUCUGGGCUGGGCUGAGAUUCUGCAUCUAGUAAUAAACUCCCAAUUGGUGCUGAUGUUGCUGGUUCAUGGAUCAUACUUGGAGUAGCAAGGGGUGAGAUAAUCCCUCUAAGGUCAAUUACCAGCAAGGGGACAUUGGACAAUAUGAAUGUCUUCUUUCAAACCCAAUGUUUUUUAAGUCUAUUUAUGUAGUGGGGAGAAGAAAACAAAUGAACAAACAAACUGGGGCAGAAUUCCUUUUCCAGGAGGCAAGUGCUUUUGUUCAGCAAAACCUCCUCAUGAGAUACUUAGGUUGUGGAAAGCUCUCCCUCCAGGCAAGGCAGGAAUGGGCUACAAAUUAGACAAAGAGAUAAAGCACUCUUCGAGGGAGAUGAAUAAGUAACUCUAGGGACUGGAAGCUGGGGAGAGAGGAGCAAGAUGGUGGUGGGUGCUGGAGCCCACAAGGAGAAGAGGAAGAUGAGCUAUCCCUGGAGGUGGGAAGGCUGUAUGGACUCUUACAGUUUUAGGUGUUGGCUCCGUUGGGCUAGAAGCCUUUGAUGUUGUUAGGAUCGUUCAGCCAAGUUACACACCAUAGCCUUGAGAU